rnacentral:rRNA from 1 species
CCAGUACACGAUGCGGAUGCCUAUUACUUUGUGAUACACUUUCGAAGAGUCGAGUUGUUUGGGAAUGCAGCUCAAAUUGGGUGGUAAAUUCCAUCUAAAGCUAAAUAUUGGCGAGAGACCGAUAGCGAACAAGUACCGUGAGGGAAAGAUGAAAAGCACUUUGGAAAGAGAGUUAACAGUACGUGAAAUUGUUGGAAGGGAAACACAUGCAGUGAUACUUGCUAUUCGGGGCAACUCGAUUGGCAGGCCCGCAUCAGUUUUUCGGGGCGGAAAAGCAUGGAUUGAAGGUAGCAGUUUCGGCUGUGUUAUAGCUUUCCAUUGGAUUCGCCCUGGGGGACUGAGGAACGCAGCGUGCUUUUAGCAUGAGCUUCGGCUUAUCCACGCUUAGGAUGCGGGUUUAUGGCUGUAUAUGACCCGUCUU